rnacentral:sRNA from 1 species
GCUGGGCAUGGUGGUGCAUGCCUGUAAUCCCAGCUACUCAGGAGGCUGAGGCAGGAGAAUCGCUUGAACCCAGGAGGCAGAGGUUGCAGUGAGCCAAGAUCGUGCCAUUGCACUCCUGCCUGGAUGACAGAGCAAAACUCUGUCUCAA